UGUGUAGGCGGUUCUCCAAGUUUGGUGUGAAAUCUCCCGGCUCAACCGGGAGGGUGCGCCGAAAACUGGAGGGCUAGAGUGCGGGAGGGGAGAGUGGAAUUCCUGGUGUAGCGGUGAAAUGCGUAGAUAUCAGGAGGAACACCGGUGGUGUAGACGGCUCUCUGGACCGUAACUGACGCUGAGACACGAAAGCGUGGGUAGCAAACAGGAUUAGAUACCCUGGUAGUCCACGCCCUAAACGAUGCAUAUUUGGUGUAGGUCAUUCAGUUGAUCUGUGCCGGAGCUAACGCGUUAAAUAUGCCGCCUGGGGAGUACAGUCGCAAGGCUAGAA
rnacentral:rRNA from 1 species